rnacentral:lncRNA from 1 species
CCAAAUAUCAGAGCUUGGCUUAAAUUGGUGACUGCUUCUUGGCUUAUUUGGAUUUGAAUCUUGAAUACUUGCAUGAAUAAGCUAGGACUCUGAGUGUGCAACAUUCUUACGAACAAAACUAAUCUGAUACUGCAGCUAAAUGCUCAUACACCAAUCCAAAUUUCCAAAAAAAAAAGAAAAAAGAAAUGAACCUGUGGACCUGACCGAAACCGGCCCAUUUUAAAUGGGUCGGGUUAGGUCCGAUUCCUGUAUUAAAAUUUGUUGUACCCGUCCUGGCUCGGCCAGUUUCUUUUAAAUACGGAUCCGGUCCGGUCCUUUCAAAAUUAGACCCAGCCCGGCCCGUGCCCAGCCCUACUCAUUAUUGCUUAAACCACACUCAGCUGCAAAUUUCUCAAUGACAUUAACUUGGAAGGGGGGAGUUGAAGUGUGGCUACUACCUUUGCUUUGCUUCGAGUUGUGAUGCCAACGGAUUCUCCAUUUGCAAUUGAGGUGCUCAUGACACUUUUUUACCUUGGUGGCGAUGACAACUUGAUUCUUCUUGGAAGACAUUGAUUUUGAAGUGUGUUUAGAUUUCUUGAACUAAGAAAGAGAUGAGAGGAGAGAUUGUCCCACCAGGCAUGCCAAAUUUAUAAACACGAAAAUCCUGUAGCAAAUGAAUCAACACGUGUACAAAAUAAUUUAUAUUAUAUCAAUGAGUUUAUACAAUCUUUUUACAACUUGAAUCCUCUGAUUCGAUCUCCGAAAUGUGUAGAUGUGUGUUAUUAAUCUAAAGGUCGUGAUGACUUGAUCUCGGAUGAACGGUUGCCACAAAGAUUUUGGCUUGUGGCAAUAGAAGAACCGCCAUGGGUAAUAGUGCUUGAUGAUUCUUCACAGGUUUGAUGAAGAACGCUAAGAGUUUUUCGAGUCUUCUUCAGUGUUUGAGUGCUUGGGGAAUUUGGAUGCUUGAGAGCCUCAGAGUUUCAGAGCUUCAACUUCUGGAAGCAACAGGGAACACCAAGACGAUGGUUUUAUUCCUGGGCUGCAGUAAAUAGAUCGAGAGGUUGUUCCGCCCCUUGUCCUACGUGAAUGAUUUUCUGGACCCAUUUUUUGUCUUGGAGCCUCGUAUUUAUAGACUUUUCAAGCCUUGUCUACAUAUGAAUUUAGCCUUGAUUAAUUGACGAAAGAACCAGGACUUGAUUUAUGGGCCGGUUUGUGAUUUGACUCUGUUUGUACCAUACUUGACCAAUCCUGAAACUACUGAGCACCGGUCAAUGUUAUACCGUCAAGGACCUAGAAGAGUUUCCCUACAACCAGGAGGCCAAUCACAGCGCGACACGUGUCAACAUCAGAAGCCAAUCACAAUACGACACGUGUCAAUGUUAGAAUGAAACUAGAAACUCUAUUUUAUAAAUAGAGAUCAUUCUCUCACAAUAUUUCCUAAUGUCAUUUGUACUAAAUCAUUCACUAGUACUCACUAAAUAAGAGCUUGAACCUAUGUACUUGUGUAAACCCUUCACAAUUAAUGAGAACUCAUCUACUCCGUGGACGUAGCCAAUCUGGGUGAACCACGUACAUCUUGUGUUUGCUUCCCUAUAUCUAUCCAUUUACAUACUUAUCCACACUAGUGACCGGAGCAAUCUAGCGAAGGUCACAAACUUAACACUUUCAGUUGUACCAAAGUCC